CAGAAGCAUGGGAUUAAGACUGGAAAGGGGGAUCUUGUCCCCUUCCCAAUUAUUUAAUGGUGGGAAACAAGUGCAGCCAGCACUCUGGGAUUUUUCCACCCACUACCAUAAAACGUACCCAGUUCUGGACGUUCCCUCUUCCCAUCUCAGAUGCUCCAGAGGAUGUGGGGAAGGAGCCGUGCAUCCGGUCAGGAAUGCCAGGGCAUUUGGGAAAAGCGGAGCAGGUGUAGAUGAUGUGGAAAAAGCAGGAUCAUAGCAGCCUCAGCCCUGUUUUGCGGGAAAGCCAGCCCUGAGAGCAGUGACGAAGCACUGCAGGAGCUAUUGGGGAGCUGAAGAGGAUGGAUAAGGAUCCAGCAGCCAGCAUUCCAUCACCAACACUGCUCCUGGCCCCUCUUCCCACAGCCAAGCCCGAGUGGAUGGAGCAGAACCCACAAGCAGGGACAUGCAGCAGCUCAUCCUGGCGAGCCCAUCUUGCUUCACCCCCUGGGCUGGGCUGCCUUGGGAUCGGGAUUGGGCUCCUCUGGGGCAUUACUGCAUCGACUCGGGUUGCAACACCCCAAGGUUAUUUUUCAUUGAUUUGAGGCCGCCGCUGAUUUGCCUGGUCCAGGCCACCCCCCCGCCCGCGCAGCCUUUUCUCGUCUGAGUGAGCGAAAUGCUCACCGCAGAGAGAGUUUCCAGAAAUGAUUCAGCCCUUCCCUUCGAGAGACACGGGAGGUGAAAAGGGGAAAAUUACCCUGCG